rnacentral:lncRNA from 1 species
AUUGAAAUAGAUUUUUUUGCCUACACCCCACUUUUAGCUAUUUUUAUUAGAAUGUGUCAUAAACCUCAUGAUUCAGAUUUUUCUUUUAGAUUUAAAUAGCCAGAUGUCCUUUAAAUAAGUCAGACAUUGGCCUUCCUAUUCAUUGGCAUAUUUACUGCUGUUCCAGACAUUCAGUCUUUGAAUACCAUUUUUUCCCCUAAGAAACGGAAGAAAUACUAGAACUUAAAAGUAAGACCUAUUUUUUUGAAGUAUAGCAUCCCAAUAACUAAUUUUAUCAACCUUUAUGUAUGUGAAGGUGCUUAUAUUUCAUUUUCAUAUUUUGCAGAUUAUCUUUCUUAGAAUAAAUAACUUGAUUAAAAAAAAACAACCUCUCAGCCUGUGAUAGUUUGAAUGUAAUUGUCCCCCAUAAUUUCAUAGCAAGGUGUGGUUAGUUGGAGUGGAUAUGAUCUUGUUAGCAGAAGUGUGUCACUGUGUGGGUGGGUUUUAAGGUUUCCUAUGCUCGGGAUUCUGCCCAGUGUUUUAGUCAUCUUCCUGUUGCCUGCAAGAUGUAGGACUCUCAGCUACUCUUCUAGCACCAUGUCUGUCUGCACACCACCAUGAUCCCCAAUGAUAAUGGACUGAACCUCUGAAACUGAGAGAGAACAGUGUUAAACCCAGUUGCAGAGAGGGAGGAGUGAUGAGCAAAGAGAUCAAGGCUGGGCUGGUGAAACCCACAGAAACAGCUGACCUGAACAAGGGGGAGUGCAUGGACCCCAGACUGAUGUCUAGGAGGCCAGCAUGCGACUGAUCCAGACCCCUGAACGUGGAUGUCAGUGAGGAGGCCUCUGCCCAAGACCAUCUGUUGUUUGUAAACAGAAACUCCAAGUAGUAAUCCCCAUUUGGAUGCUUCAGUAAAAGAGACUAAGAAGUGUUGUCCAUCUUAUUCAAGGCCAUUAUAAAAGCCACGGAUUGUUCCGAAAGUCUUCAACUUUUGGAGAAAGAUUUUGUCUAUGAUGAAGGAAUUAAAUAAUUGAGAAAAAUCUGAAAGAAAUUCUCUAUGUGAAAACUUUCAGACCCACCUUGACUCAUUUCCUGUCUGUCUGUCUGACUUGGAAGUUCCAACAUGCUCAUGGGAGUCAGAUGGGAGUCCACGAACUGAGAAUAAAAUUGAGGAUGAAAGAGACAGGAUUUAGCAAUAAAAGACCCAAAUAAACACAAGACCAAAGAUCUCUGACAAAUAAAAGCUUCCCUCACAGAGACACACAGCACCAACUCAAAUGUUCACCAGGGAACCAAGGGUGAAGAAAUGUGGCCAGUGGAUACAACAGAAUGGUGUUCAGUCAUAAAAAGGAUGACAUUCUGACAGAGCUUUUUGAUGAAGGUCUAGUCCAAUGGGAGAUAGAAGAAAGAUCUGCUGCCUUCUACCCUCUUCUAUGCUGCUUACUCAAACAGAGGGAAAGUCACAACCAGUCUGCAUUGCCUGAUAUUAGAGCGUGCUCUUACAUGAGAAAUACAAUUGUAUCUUAAUCUAAUAUUAUUUUAUUUACAAGUAUUUUGUUUAUGUUGUUCACAUUUCCAUGGCUGACUCCAUAGCUGACAAAACAGUUUUUGCUGUAGGGGUGACUCUAAGGAGAAUGGUUACUUUUUAAGUGUGUUUAGUAGACUUCCAUCUGAUUACUCAUAACUUUUCAUCUACUCAUUUUUUCUUUGAUGGGCUUUAACCUGGUGCUGACAUCCUUUAUCCUGCAGCUGUUUAAUAUGAAUGUUUCCAUUUUGUUUUACUCUAACUAGCUCUUGUCAAGGGGUUAAGAUUGGGCAAUCCCUAGCCAAACUGGCUUCCUUAAGAGUAUGUGUAUGUCAGGUGGAGCCUUUGCGUUGGCCUGGGUGGAAAAGGCAUCUUUGUAAAACAUGUGGUGUCUACUUAAAAGCUGAGCUCCUGGUUAGUAUUUACUGGGAAAUUCAAAACAAUUUCCCAGUUCAGUUAGCCAGCAUAACAUUGCACAGAUCUGGUUUUCUGCCUGGAACAUCCAGUACCAAGCCGUGCAUUUCCCUCAAAUUGAAAUUCCAAUCUCAGUAUGGUCUCCACAAUAUCCCUCUUAUUUUCUGCUAGUAUUCCAAAACCCCUCCCUGCCUAUGCUGGGUCCAGGCUUUCUCUUUGUUCCUCUCUUCAGAAUUUAGGUAACCAUGGUGAAUUCACCUGCUGCUCAGGUGGAGGGUGGUGCUUUUAGCCUGAAAUCCAACUGGGUUUGACCCGUAGGCUUCAAAUCCUCAUUUUACUCCCAUUGCCAGUAUCAAGUACAACAUUUUAAAGUAUUGACUUAGGUGACCCAACCCCACUGUUGAAAGGAAAAUGUCCUGGAAAGCAAGAGCAAUUUCACAGUAAUGCAUUAAAGGGAACACUUAGUCCCCAGCACUGUUUCCAAUAUUCUUUGUGUCCUUUUCCAUCACCUAUACUAACACCAAGGUUCAUCUGGCUUCAUCCUAGAGGGAUUCUGCAUUCUUCUCCUGGGUGAAUCUCAUAUUCUCCCCCAUGUCUUUUCUUACUGUUUCACAAAAGCACAAGAAAGGUUCCUCCAAAGAGCAUACAGAGUAGCAAAGAGGUCAAAAUGGAACAAAACACAAUCCCUUGUUGAAGUUAGAAGAGAAGACUGUGAGUAUUUAUAAAUUGAUUUGUAAUAACAGACCAGGCUGGACUUCCUACAUAGCUAAGGAUAGCCCUGCAUUCCUGAUCUUCCUGUUUCCACCUCCCAAGUGCUGGGGUUACAGUUGUGCACUGCCACUCCUGGAUGAGUUCACACGUUGUACCUUAACACAGAGACAGAUGGAUAUUCAUCUUUUUUUCUUUUAAAAUUUCUUGUAUAAUGGUGUAUUUGAUUGACACGAGUGCUUGUGAGUUUGAGGACACCAUCAGGUUCUGUGAUCCCCAAAAUCACCCAUAGCUGAUACUUGUUGAUUUUGUAGUCACUACACUUUUAUAUACAAGAGCAAGACAAAGGUGUAAAUGUUGACAGUAGUCAUAGUAAGUACUUUACACCAGAUGUGAAAUUCGUGGAUGAAAAAGGAUGGGCCCAGGAAAUUCACCGAAGUGGUGGAAUUCUUUUUCUUUAACACAUAAUAUUUUGGGGAGAAAAUGGACUAUUUCUUGGGGAUGAGCUUCAGUGAUCGGGAGUAGAUGAAAAAUAAUAAUGGGAAAAUAAUGGAAACCACUGAAAUACUUCUCAGUUCCUCAUCACACUCAGCAAAAGAUGGCAAAGGACUGUCCCAGAACCCAGGGCAAAGGAUCCUGAAGAUGUGUGGUGAAGGGAACCAUGGGCCAGUCAUAGUUUUGUCAUAAGCAAUUUUGAAGGUGGUUGCUUGAUUGUUGUCUCUCCACCAGAAGCUAGUCAAUGGGUUACCAUGAAACAGAGGUAGAGCCAAGUGAGUGGUUCUGAGAGUCCUUUCAAAGAGAUGGACAUUUCUUAGACAAAGCUUCAGCAGUAUGAUUUGCAAAUUACCUUCUAAAAAUAUCAACUAGGCUCAAUAAAAUAUGAACUGCAAUCAAUAAGGCACAGAGGAAUACAUGAUAAAUGGACAGAUAAACGAACUAGGAGGUAUGUUAACUGUUAGAAAGGAAAAUGUAAGCAUAAUGAAAAAUAGACAGUCCUGUUCUCACCAAGUGUCCCUGCAUGCAUGGGUACAGACUGAAGCUCAUAUGUGAAUCCCUGACCUCAAAUAGGAUCAUGUUGAGUGAUGGGCAACAGAAAAGUGGGCCUCAAGGCUGAUUCUCUUACAUGAAGGCAAAUAAACACCUGGACUCUGGGCAUAGUGAGAAAGUGACAUCUGCAAACCAGGAAAAGGCUUCACCAGAAACCAACCUUGGAGACUCCUUGACCUUGAACUGUAGCCUUCAGAAUGAUGAGAAAGAAAAUGAACCUUUGUUUAGGCCCCAGUCAGCAUAACACUAGAGAGUAAAACACACUGAAUGGGUGUGUAAAGCUGGGACCAGAGUGAUGGAAGAGGGGCAGUAUAGCAGUACCUGGGAACCUCCUUCGGAAUGUGAAGAUCUAGAGAAAGAAACAGGAAGGUGGAAGAUUUGGGACAUGGAGAUUUUGAGUAUAUCUUUUUAUAAGAAAAUGACACCAAAAAUAGUAUCUAGACAAUAUUUACAAAUAUAAAUUUUAAUGCUUAGAUGAUGAAACUGCAACGAUUGCUCAUAAAAUGACUCCUUAUAAGAAAACAUAAUCAAUUAUGAGACUAACAACUUCUUUUAGUCCCACACUAUUGAGCAGGUCUAAGAUUAAAGAAUCUUUAAACCCUGGUUUCCAAGUGUGUUUUGGACAACUCAAGGCACCAGGACAAACUCCCAGGGCACUGUGGAAGUAUUUUACACUUGGGGGAGAUUCAGGGACACUGGACAUGCUUUAGGAGCCAUGGGCUUUGCUUUUCAAGGUAGUGCACAAUUUGUAUGUUAGAUAGUGUUUCGUUCCUUUUUAUGAUGUCAUAUCAUCGUGAGACUGGAUUCCUGGUGGAUGCUUUAAUUAAAGAAAAGCACAUUCUGCAUGACCGUUAAUGUAGAGCAACAAAUGAGAUGCUGGAGUGAGCAAGAAUGAGACAUGCAAUAUUAUUGUGUAAUUAUGCUUGUUGGGUAACUUAAGGGUGAUUGUCAAGCAGUAUUAAAUUAUUUAAACAUUUCGUCAGCUGGGGAAGUUUAGAGACCCGUAAGUAAGUAUGAAGAUACCUGAAGAGGUUUGUGAUAUGUUCUCUCCAUUCUUGAAUAUGUGUGUGUGUGUGUGUGUGUGUGUGUGUGUGUGUGUGUGUGUGUGUGUGUGUGUGUGUGUAAAGUUGAAUGUAAUUUGUAAUUGUUUUGGUUUUUUAGAGGUCAUUAUGAAUUUUAUUUUAUUUAUUUUUCUAUUUUUUAUUUAAAUUAGAAACAAGCUUUUCUUACACGUCAAUCCCAGUUCCCUCUCCCUCCCCUCCUUCCUUGCCCCCCACUAGCCCCCUAUCCCAUCCCCUUUCUGCUCCCCAGGGAGGGUGAGGCCUUUCAUGGGGGAUCUUCAAAGUCUGUCAUAUCAUUUGGAACAGGGCCUAGAUCCUUCCCCAUGUGUCUAGGCUCAGAGAGUAUCACUCAAUGUGUAAUGGGCUCCCAAAGUCCAUUUGUAUGCUAUGGAUAAAUAUUGAUCUACUACCAGAGGCCCCAUAGAUUAUCUCCUCACUGACACCCACGUUCAGGGGGCUCUGGAUCAGUCCUUUGCUGGUUUUUUGGGGUCCAUGAGCUCCACCUUAUUCAGUUUAGCUAUUUCUGUGGAUUUCACCAGCCUGGUCUUGACCCCUUUGCUCAUCACUCCUCCCUCUCUGCAACUGGAUUCCAGGAGUUCAGUUCAGUGUUUAGCUGUGGGUGUCUGUUUCUGCUUCUAUCAGUUACUGGAUGAAGGCUCUAGGGUGGCAUAUAAGGUAGUCAUUAGUCUCAUUAUCAGAGAAGGGCAUUUAAGGUAGCCUCUCCACUAUUGCUUAGAUUGUUAGUUGGUGUCAUCCUUGUAGAUCUCUGGACAUUUCCCUAGUACCAGAUUUCUCUUUAAACCCAUAAUGGAUCCCUCUAUUAUGGUAUCUCCUAUGUUGGUCUCCUCUGUUCUUCCCCCAAUUCAACCUUCCUGCUCUCUUAUGUCCUCCUCUCCCCUCCUCUUCUCCCUUUCUCUUUCUACUAGCUCCCUCUCCCAUCCCCACCAUGCUCUCAAAUUGCUCAGGAGCCCUUGUCCCUUUCCCCUUCUCCAGGGGACCAUAUAUCUCUCUCUUAGGGUCCUCCUUGUUUCCCAGCUGCUCUGGCGGUGUGGAUUGUAGACUGAUAAUUCUUUGUUCUAUGUCUAAAAUCCAUAUAUGAGUGCAUACAUGCCAUGUUUGUCUUUUUGUGACUGGGUUAUCUCACUCAGAAUGGUUUCUUCUAGUUCUAUCCAUUUUCCUGAAAAUUUCAAGAUUCCAUUGUUUUUUUUCCCACUGAGUAGUACUCCAUUUUAUAAAUGUACCACAUUUUCUCUAUCCAUUCUUCAGUUGAGGGGCAUCUAGGUUGCUUCCAGGUUCUGGCUAUUACAAAUAAUGCUGCUAUGAACAUAGUUGAACAGAUGUCCUGGUUUAUGAAUGUGCAUCUUUUGGGUAUAUGCCUAAGAGUGGAAUUGCUGGAUCUUGUGGUAGAUUGAUUGCCAUUUUAUUGAGGAGUCGCCAUACUGAUUUCCAAAGUGGCUGUACAAGUUGUCACUUCCACCAGCAGUGGAGGAGUGUUCCCCUUUCUCCACAUCCUCUCCAGCAUAAAUUGCUGUUGAUGUUUUUGAUUCUAGCUAUUCUGACAGGAGUAAGAUGUAUCUCAGAGUUGUUUUGAUUUGCAUUUCCCUGAUGGCUGAGGAUGUUGAACACUUUCUUAAGUGUCUAUCAGCCAUUUUAGACUCUUCUAUUGAGAACUCUCUAUUUAGUUCUGUACCCCACUUUUUAAUUGGAUUAUUUGUUGUUUUGGAGACUAGCUUCUUGAGUUCUUUGUAAAAUUUGGAGAUCAGCCCCUGUUAGAUGUGGGGUUGGUGAAUAUCUUUUUGUUUUGUCUUGGUGACUAUGUCCUUUGCCUUACAGAAGCUUCUCAGUUUCAGGAGGUCCCAUUUAUUAAUUGUCGAUCUCAGUGUCUGUGCUACUGGUGUUAUGUUCAGGAAGUGGUCUCCUGUACCAAUUCGUUCAAGGGUACUUCCCACUUUCUCUUCUAAGAGAUUCAUUGUGGCUGGAUUUAUGUUGAGGUCUUUGAUCCAUUUGUGCAUGGCGAUAGAUAUGGAUCUAUCUGCAUUCUUCUACAUUCCAGCAUCCAGUUAUGCCAGCACCAUUUGUUGAAGAUGCUUUCUUUUUUUCCAUUGUAUAAUUUAAGCUUCUUUGUCAAAAAUCAGGUGUUCAUAGGUGUGUGGGUUAUCAGGGUUUUCAAUUUGAUUCCAUUGGUCUACCUGUUUAUUUUUGUGCUAAUACCAAGCUGUUUUCAGGACUAUAGCUCUAUAAUAGAGCUUGAAGUCAGGACUGGUGAUGCCUCUGGAAGUUCCUUUAUUGUACAGGGUUGUUUUGGCUAUCCUGGUGUUUUGUUUUCCCAUAUAAAUUUGAGUUUUGUUCUUUCAAGGUCUGUGAAGAAUUAUUUUGGAAAAAACUUAGUAUUUUUUAAAUGCAAGCUGACUGCAUUGCUUUUUCAGACAAUAAAUACAAUUGGAUUAAUUUAAAUCCUUCAUUGGCCUCUACAAGCUUUAUUGAGAGAAUGCUAGUUUCUAAGUGCUUCUAGGGCACAGAACUUAUUUUUAAUAUGUCAGAAAUUUCCAUGACAUUUUAUUGAUACCUUUAGCUUAUUUAGGAAAACUUUAAGAAGUCAUAAAAAUGUGACUUUAAAUACAGCUAAAGAAUAAUCUUCAAAGAAAAAAUGAAACCUCAGAUACAAGUAGCUAACUUCUUUAUAUAUUGUAUUCUUUUAGACUCAAAAACAAAAUAUGUUGAAAAUGCAACAACACAUGCUGGUUUCAUUGCAUUAGUGUUGAGUCUAAUGACAGACAUUUAUGCAAUAAAGUAUUUUAAAACUCUAAGGAAUAGUCAAUAUUUUCCUUUUGCUGCAAAAAGAUAUUUAGUACCAGGCAGUUUAGUAACACAGUUUUAAUGAUUUUAUAAAUAUCAAACCAUAACUGUUUAAGCGUGUGCACUUGGCUUUUAUUUUUACAAUCUCAUUUAUCAGAUCAUUUUGUGAUUUCCAGGUUAUAUUAUACAAAACCAAAAAUGCUACCACGAACUAAAAACAAAACACCAAAUGUAUGAAUUUAAGCUUAAUGGGACAAAGGCCAAAGAUUAUCACCGAACACUAGAAAAGUAAAAUAUUAAGAAAACAGUAAAAUCGUAACCUUGCUUACGAUAUAAUUGGAAGUAGAUGGACGAGGAAUUGGUAUAGGAAGAGUGGAUUCUGUCUGUAAAUCAGUGAUCCGCAACCUCUGGAUUGUGACCCUUCUGAGGGUAUCAUAUAAAAUAUUUACAUUAUGAUUCAUUUAAAAAAGUAGCAAAAUUACAGUUAUGAGGUAGCAAUGAAAUAAUUUUAUGGUUGGGGGUCACAACAGCAUGAGGAACUGUAUUUAAGGGUCACAGCAGGAAGAAGCUUGAGAACCACUGCUCUAAACAACACAGUCUUGCUGACAUGAGCAGAAUCUUUCUACCCUGCAGAGACUUUGCCCAGUGGCCUGUGAUUUGGUUAAGAAGAAUCAGAGGUUUACCUUGAGUGGACCAAGUCAGCCCAAGCAAAUUUGCUUCCUGUGUUAAUAUACUUCCAGAUGUGCUGUAGAACCAGACGACUACACAGCAUUUUGAAUUAUGUCAUGUUAACAGCUCUUCCAAUCUUACUUUGUUCUCUUAGUCUCACAGCAAGGCAAAAUCAAAAGAUGAGACAGAAGAGCUCCCCAUGGCUGAAUCAGCUGUGGAUGGAUGUUGGAGAGGAAUGGGCACUACAGCUCUCUCAGGGCAAGCUUGGGUACACACUCUGGGACCGCUUGACUCAGAAAGAGGACUCUAGUAUCCUGCUAGCACAAGACUGCCAGGUAUGGAACCAGUGACAAAGAAAGAAGAGUAUGAACACGCGCGCGCACCCGUGCAUGCAUGUGUGCCUGUGUGUGCGUGGGCGCAUGCGCAUGCUGUAUGGGCAAGCACAGGAUAAUCCCGUGCAGCGAUCCCCCCUCCUGCUGCAGCCUAUGUGUUCAGGUGCCAUCUUGGAGGCACGUAUGAAUUAAAGUGCAACUAUUUUACUAACACGACACAGUCGCCUCUUCAUGGUCGCUAGGCCUCAUGUUAUUCUAAGUACAGAUAUGGUAAUCAUUUCUUUGACUGUUACUUGGUUAAAAGCUAAAAUCGUCUGUGGAAUUUUAAGAUUCAGACGAAGAAACGUUUGCUUUUUAGCCUUUGUUGUUUUGAGUCAGGGUCUCCCUUUACAGUCCAGGCUGGCAUGCAGUGUACCAUGCAAGCUAGCUGGCCUGGCAGUCAUGGUAACCCUCUUGUCUGUGUCUUUCCAAGUUAUCAUACAAGCUUUUGAAAGGCUUUAAAUCGAAUUUAAAGCCUUUUAAAAGCCAAUUAAAUUUAAACUGCACACGAAAGAACUUGCAUGGAGGGGGCCCUGGGUCUGUCACCAACACUGCCUGUGUUCACCCAAGCACCAGUCCCCAGCACACGCAUGGAGUUCCUAUUAAAGGUAAUUAAGGGAGAUCUUCCUUAGCACAGUGUGAGAUCUUAUCACAGCUAUUUUACAUGUGGAUAAGAACCCAUCACAUUUGUAAAAUGGGGAAUAAAGCCUAUAGAUAUUAACAUAGCCCCCAUAGUUCUGAAACUUGUUAAUGACCCACUUGUAGACAAAACAGCUAGCCUUAAAGCCUUUUAGUUUAGUUUUGUUUGUUUGUUUUAUUUUUACUUUUGUUUUUCCUGUGAGAUGCUGGCCUGGGCCAUUUUUACAUUACAGAACAUUUAAAAUGCUUUAAAAUGUCUUCCAGAAGAAAUUGACUUGCUUGUAAUUUGCAAACAUGUCCCUUUAAUUUCGACAGCACGAAUGGUGCUAAGGAAACAUGGUUGGUGGACUAAUGGUGGAUUUCUAGGACCCUAAUGAGGCUAUGACUUCUCUCACUGGAAAGACUUCCUCUCCAGGUGGAUCCUCAUGUCUGUCUGUGUGAGUCCAGCCUGGUUUGGCCCAGCAGUACCUUGAUUUAAGUAAUUUCUCCUGGUGUUUUCCCACGGUAUAUAAAGCACCACACAGGCACUUAGUGACUCUCUGGAAAGACAAACUAAGCUCUUUUCAGUUUGUUUUUUAUUUCAGUGUUUUAUUUUUAAAGCUGAUUUUUUUUCUGAGACUAUUUGUUAUCUGUGGAAUUUGAGUUUGUCUAUGCAAAGAAAUCAUUUAAAAUGGAACGAAGCAGUUAUAGUCACUUCAAGCUCUUCAUUGUGUGUGGGGGUUGAUGUUUAUAACAAAACCAAAACGUGACAUAAUCCUCUAUAAAUUGGACGGGAUUUCUGCAUUUAUUCACAGGUCUGCAUUAGUAAAGCUUUUUAUAUACCACGUUUAAAAUCCUUUCCUCGGGGAUAUGCUAAGGAUAUCGACUAGACAUAAAAUGAGUUAGAGUUUCAAAAGCGUUUAUUGAGAUUUUUAGGUUCUUCCGGAGAAAAAUAACGGGCUUUUGUGUAAUGAGAGUGUUUGUUUGUUUGCAGCAACAAAAAACUUUUGCAAAGGCGAGAUCGGUGCACUUUGCAUGCCUAAGAGGUGAGAAUUUUGCGGCUGCGCUUCUAGGCAGCAGCACCAGGAGGCGCUAAUGCACCAUAGUUCGUUGUCGCACUGCCAGCCCAGGUGUUGCCAGCCUGCUCUGAGCUCAGCCUGCCCUGCACCUGCUCUUCAACCCAGGGCCUGACAGUGAUGGACAAACUGCAGGCGAUUUUAGGUGAUUGCUAUUAAGGGCAUAAUUCAGUUUCUUUCUGUAUCUGGGAGGGAUCUUUAUGAGGUGGGCUGAAGGAUGCUGUAGUCUGCUUUUCUUUUUGUUCUUCAUGGCAAGAAUUAGUGGCUCAUGUCUGGAAAGGAGGGAUUGAAACAACGGCUUGCAUUUGCUUGGAUUAAUCACUGGCCACGGAUAUCUUAAGAGGGUCAGGGACUUCCUGCUAUAGAUGAGGAAUUAUUAAGAACCAGAAGUAGCUAAGAGUGUGAUGGAGAGGCAACUGCAUUUCCUUUGAAAACGAUGAAAAUUGAAGAUUGUGAGAUCAAAUGAUCACAAUAAUUAUAAGGUUUGAUUCCAUUUAUUUAUUUAUUUAAUAGGAAAAGUAAAUAUUCUUGUAUUAAGUCACUUCUCAGAACAUGAAAUGCUAGGUGGUUUAGAUAAAAAAAUGUCCAGUGGGGGGAAAAUAAUGAAUAGACUUAAUUCCAUAAUUGCAUUUCAUCAGAUUGAUAUAAGAUUCAUCACUUUAAGUAAGGCAACAAAAGCAAAGUAUAUUUGUCUUGUAAGUGGUGUAAAAACCUUCACAUAGCAUCAAAAAUACGGUACCCUUAUUUUGUUUAUGACAUUUAUGGGGACCUGUCUGUCCCCAGGGAUAUAUUGGUUGAGCAUGGCAGCCAUUGAACAUGGAUGCUGAUGGGCUGUGCCAGGGCUGAGGUAAAACCCAUUCUGCUCUUUGGGUUAUCUUGAACUCUGAACCAAGUUAUUUCUCAAUGAAAAACACCUGAUAUCAGUAAUGGAGGCGGCCUCAGGAUCGUUAAUUCGUUGUAUGGAGUACUGAGAUACGAGCAUCCUUUUCUCUCCCUAUCUUCCUUCUAUUCUUUCUUUGCUUUUCACUUCCUCCAUGCCAGAACUACAAGCAUGUGCCAUAAUGCCUAUCAUGAAUCUUUAAAAUAGAACUGUGCCUGCCAGCCUGGACUCUAACCCUGUGGAACUCUGACCCCAGUACAUGUUUUCUUUUAACAGUCAUCUAGAUAAUUAAAGUUAUAGUUUUUCUUAGUUAUGAUAAAAGAUAAAUUAGAUAUAAAACUUGAAACUCACCAAGAUAAGUUAGAUUUUCUCUAACUUUGUCAAAUACAAAUAGACUAGAUAUUGUAAUUGUAGUUCUUACUUGCUGUUUUGUUGUACAUAAUUUUAUUAUGUUAAAGUUAAAAAACCUUCCUUUUUGACUAGACAGAAAAGGGGAAAUGCUGUAGGAUAAUCCUUCUGUAUACUGUGAAUAUGCACUAAUCUCAUUGGUUGAUAAUAAAGCUGAUUUGGUUUACUUAAGAUAAAUAAAACUAGUCAUCAUUGAGAUAUCUCAUCACUGCAAUAGAAAAGUAGCCAAGGCAUUCAAUAAUAUUUAUGUUCUAGAAUUUAGUGUGUGUGUGUGUGUGUGUGUGUGUGUGUGUGUGUGUGUGUGUGUGUGUGUGUGAAUUUCUGUAUUCACCUCUGUGUGGGGCAUAUGUGUGCAUUCUUGGUAUUAAUGCAUUUGGAAGCCAGAGGCCAAUAUUGAUAUCUUUUUUUACUUACUCACUCCUCACCUCAUUUUUUGAGAUGAGUCUUUCACCAAAUCUGUAGCAUGCCGGUUUGGCUAUAGUAGCUGGCUAGGAAGCCCCAGGGGUCUCUGUUUCUGCUUUCUCAGCACUGGGAUUACAAACAUGACCUCUGCACCCAGUUGUUUUAUGUGGUUUCUGUGGAUUGUAUGUCCCAUGCUUACAAGGGAAUAUAUUUAUUAAAGACUAAGCCAAUUUAGUUUGUAAGCCCCCCAAUUUUGAAUAUUUACUAAGCCUUUGGCUUUAUAUUUGUAACGUUGGAAUUUAUGUGUCUAUUACUGAUUAGGAAACUAUACCUUAUUAUUAAAUAUUUAUCUUGUUUCUUGCUACUG